ACGAACGCUGGCGGCGUGCCUAACACAUGCAAGUCGAACGGAGAUGGUGGGAUAGCUUGCUAUUUUAUCAUCUUAGUGGCGGACGGGUGAGUAACACGUGGGCAACCUGCCCUAAAGAGGGGGAUAACACCGAGAAAUCGGUGCUAAUACCGCAUGAAAUUAGAGUUUCGCAUGAAGCUUUAAUCAAAGGAGCAAUCCGCUUUAGGAUGGGCCCGCGUCUGAUUAGCUAGUUGGUGAGGUAACGGCUCACCAAGGCGACGAUCAGUAGCCGAUCUGAGAGGAUGACCGGCCACACUGGAACUGAGACACGGUCCAGACUCCUACGGGAGGCAGCAGUGGGGAAUAUUGCACAAUGGGGGAAACCCUGAUGCAGCAACGCCGCGUGGAGGAAGAAGGUCUUCGGAUUGUAAACUCCUGUCUUCUGGGACGAAAUAUGACGGUACCAGAGGAGGAAGCCACGGCUAACUACGUGCCAGCAGCCGCGGUAAUACGUAGGUGGCGAGCGUUGUCCGGAAUUACUGGGCGUAAAGGGCGCGUAGGCGGCCUGUUAAGUCAGAUGUGAAAACCCCGGGCUCAACCUGGGGAGUGCAUUUGAAACUGAUGGGCUAGAGUGUCGGAGAGGGAAGCGGAAUUCCUAGUGUAGCGGUGAAAUGCGUAGAUAUUAGGAGGAACACCAGUGGCGAAGGCGGCUUUCUGGACUGAAACUGACACUGAGGCACGAAAGCGUGGGGAGCAAACAGGAUUAGAUACCCUGGUAGUCCACGCCGUAAACGAUGAGUGCUAAGUGUUAGGGGGUUUCCGCCCCUUAGUGCUGCAGCUAACGCAUUAAGCACUCCGCCUGGGGAGUACGGCCGCAAGGUUGAAACUCAAAGGAAUUGACGGGGGCCCGCACAAGCAGCGGAGCAUGUGGUUUAAUUCGAAGCAACGCGAAGAACCUUACCAGGUCUUGACAUCCUUUGACCGCCCUAGAGAUAGGGUUUCCCCUUCGGGGGCAAAGUGACAGGUGGUGCAUGGUUGUCGUCAGCUCGUGUCGUGAGAUGUUGGGUUAAGUCCCGCAACGAGCGCAACCCUUAUACUUAGUUGCCAUCAUUAAGUUGGGCACUCUAAGUAGACUGCCGGAGACAAUUCGGAGGAAGGUGGGGAUGACGUCAAAUCAUCAUGCCCCUUAUGUUCUGGGCUACACACGUGCUACAAUGGGUAUAACAACGGGAAGCAAGCCAGUGAUGGUAAGCAAAUCCCUAAAAAGUACUCCCAGUUCAGAUUGUUCUCUGAAACUCGAGAACAUGAAGUCGGAGUUGCUAGUAAUCGCGAAUCAGCAUGUCGCGGUGAAUACGUUCCCGGGCCUUGUACACACCGCCCGUCACACCAUGGGAGUUGGAAGCACCCGAAGCCGGUGACUUAACCGCAAGGAGAGAGCCGUCGAAGGUGAAGCCAAUGACUGGGGUG
rnacentral:rRNA from 1 species